rnacentral:lncRNA from 1 species
UCAGGCUGAGAGAUGAAAAACAAACACCUGAAAAUUAUGACUCUUGCCACCUAAACUGCAAUAGAGACCUUGUUUUAUCAAUGCGUGCGUGCAUAUAUUUUGUUCUGACUUAUAAAUCAAUUCAUGUUCAAUUAACCUUUUUCCUUUAUAAAUCGAAGGAUUUAUUUGAAGUAGUUUGAUAUCUUGAUAUCUUGUUAUGAUCGUCCAUUCAAUUUCUGAAGCUGUAUGAUAUCUGAUUCUUUUGUUAUUUCAACUCUUGUUUGGGUUGUUGUUGGAUCAAAUGAUGUUAAGAGUAUUUAUUGAUCUGCAUAUAUAGUGAAGUGAACCACUCAGGUGAGUAACUAUUAUAGUGAAGUGAACCACUCAGUGUGUAACUAUUUUUCGUGAUAUUAUGAUGUACAUACAAGAUAUCCUUCUAUAUUCAAGAUAUCCUUCUAUAAGAUAUCUUCUACAUGCAUACAAGAUAUCCUUCUAUAAUAAUUUAUACACAUAUUCACGCUACCUAGUUCGGAUUAACAUUCAAAUGUUAACUUAAUUUGUAUCAAAGGCUAAAUACUAUUAAUUUUUAAAUUCAAAUUCAAAUUAUCAAUACUUAGUUGUUGGAAGAAAUGUAAUGUAGUGAGGAAAUUGAAGUAUUGUACCUCUUAUCUUUAUGUUCUUCCACGUUUUUUAAGGUUGUAGAAAUGGUUGUAGCUCUCAUCAUAACUUCUAAACCAUUGAAAACGUUAAGUUUUAUUUCAUGACAAUUGGUAAUAUGUUCAUCAAGUAACUAUAAAAAAAUAGGGUAGAAUUACUCUUGUCAUCCUAUAAUUUUAUUUCAGAUAACGAGUUCGUUCUUUAUUUUUUUUCCACGGCACUUUUUUCAUUUUAAUCAAUUUGCUUAUGGAUUUUUAAGAUUCAAAACUAUGGUUUUAUUUUGAUAUGAACUCAUAGUAUUCAAAUCUAUGGUCUUUCACUCACAUUUUCAUAUGAAUUUUAAAUUGAUGCUUGAAAGUCUGUAUGCAAAUGGAUCAAAAUGACUAAAAUGACGUGAAAAAAAAUUUACAAAAUCAUUAUUUAAAAUUAAAUUAAAGGACGACAAAUAUAAUUUUACUAUAAUUAUCUUUAUAAUCUCGCAUUCAAUUUUGUUUAUUUAAACGUGUUCAAUUUUUUAAAAUAUAAAAAUUAUUCUACUCUUAAAUUUGUAAACAUGUGCAUUUAGAUUACUCUUUUUUUUUUUUUUAAAUAUUAACAAGUAUCUUAAUGAUAUUGUUUAAACAUUAAUUUUUACAUUAAAAAUUAUGUAGUUAUAAUUUUUACAUUUGUUUGAUCUGUAUUUUUAUGACAAAAUUCAUUUUCGUGAGUUCAUUAAAUAAUGUAUUUAGAACACUUUUUGGGGUCGUCAACUUCAAUGUAUAAUGACAGAUAAAAUUCAAAGUUUUGUUUUUAUUUUUCCUUGAUUAAUGUGAAAUGUUCUUUUUGGGUCUUUGAAGGUGGAUCAAUGCAUGGCUCGGCUUCAAGAACUUCAGAACACCGCAACUGGUGGAAACAAGGUUGUGUCAGGGGUCAACCUUAGCCCACGAAGUACCAUAGGUUAUCUCAAAACUAGUCUCAGGUGCAAGCAAGAAUCACUAAGGUACUUUUUUCUUUGCUUCAUGACUCACGAUUCAUGACUAUAUUUUAGUUUAAUUUUUAUUUACUUUUUUACUAAUUUUUGUGUUUUGUUACCAUGCUGAAGGGUCAAGAAUGGUGCCACGAGGAAAUCUCCUGUGGGGAAGUUUCCCUCUACACCAAAGACAGGUUAGUUUGUCUUGCAAAACCAAAUUAAAUUUACUUACAAAUAUGUCUUCACUCGGACAUUAUUUAACAUUUGUAACGACAGUAUUUUGUGUAUAUUAUAUAUAAUAUGUCCAUUUUAUUUUACUAAUGAAGCAAUAGUUAUAUAAUUUUUAUUUAUUCAUUGGUAAAUUAGGAAUAGGGACUUGACCGACUUAAAUGCUUCUUGCUACACUGUUAUUCUUAAUUAAUUUUGGGACUAUCAGUAAGUUAUGAUAUUAGAAAUGUCUAGAACAAGAAAUAGGAAAACUUUAUUGUCUUUAAAUUCUCUUAAUUCCUUUUUCUAGGCAAAGUUUAUGUAUAUUUCCUUUUGGUGUGCCACGACUAGGUGGAAGAAGUUUAAUGAAAUUGUUGCACCUCUAUUUUAAUAAUUAAUUUAUUGUUUAGUUUUGACUUAAUUUACAUUAUUUUAUUUAUUCGAUGAUUUAUAUUAUGCGAUGAUCUAUAUUUAACCAAGAUACAUGAGAACUUAAUUAGAAUAAUUCUUUUGAUUUCUUCCUCAUAAUAGCAUUGGACCAACUUAACUACCAUGUGUUUACUUUCGGUACACAGUGAUGCUAGUUAAUUGGCAUUAAAUUCUUUUAUAAUUUCUUGAGGUCUUAUCAUAAUUCUUUUAUAACCAUUCCUCUUUUCAUUCCCAAAGUGUUUUCACGCCUCCACACCAUACUCACCUUAUUCAUAAACAAACAACUUUUUCGGUUCUUCUUACUCUGAACUCUUGCAGGAUCAAAGUGAAGUUUUGGAUUCUCAAUCUCUUGAUUUAUAUAAUAUAUUUCCACCGAUCUUAGAGUCUUCUUCCAUGUUAAGGAGGUAAGGGCUUUUUCCCCAUACGUUCGUGUUAGGAAUAAGUUUAUGUUAUGAAAUAAAUAUUAGAAUAUUUAACCAUUAAAAAGGUAAUGUUAUGCAUUGUGUUUGAGUUGUUCUUUGAUGUAUGUGUGUGAUUGACUAUGAUUGAGAGUUUCUGUGAUUUAUGGGUGUGAUUGAUUGUGAAAUGGAAUAGUGUGUUAGUUUUGAUCCAAGUACUCUAGCACAAUAAAUUAUUGUUAGUUAGUUUUGAAGAUAUGUAUCAUAUAUUUGAGACAUGCAUCAUGUAGUAUGCAUGGUAGGUGCCUCCGUGGCUGAAUGGUGCCUCCGUGGCUGAACUUUGCCUUCGUGGCUGAAUUGUGCCUUCGUGGCUGAAUUUAUCCGGAUCAUGAGUCUGCAUUUUCAUGCAUAAAAAGCAUUCUUUUUGUUAAGAGAAUUUAUUAUAUAGAAUUUUAUUUAAGCAUUCUGUUUGUGUUAUUUGGCAACUCUUUAAUUAGUUAAUGACAAGACUUUCCUAUUCACUUGGGAACCCUUAUGUUUAUACAGGUGAAUGGAGGCGAAUGUCGUUGCCUGCAAUGCUUGUAGGAGAAACUCUUGGAGAAAUUUUACAGGCUAGUCAAUUUGCAAGAGAAAUUGUUUCAACUGUUGGUGACAAAACUCCCUCCAAAGAGGACCCAAAAACUCCAAUGUCUCAAAGGCCAAGCAAGAAAAUAAACCUUGAAAACACACAACUUAAGUCUAGAAGGAAGAAGGAGAAAUAAACCAAACUACAAAAUGAUGGUUCUCCUUCACUUCAAAGAGCUCGUUCCAGAAUCACUUUCAAAGUUUCUCCUCCAAAAGUUAGAGAAUUUAAUACAGAAAAUAACAAGUAUUUGUCUUAGGCGAAUAGGGUAUCUCCAAGGAAUAGGACAUGGGCUAAAAAAACUAUACUUUUCCCCAACCCUUUGUUCAAGUCAACUCAUUGUUCUUCAUCACGGUCAUAGCAGCAACAGUUUUGCAAAACAAGGUCUUCUUUUAUUUCAAGAAAUAGAGGACCAACAACACCACACAAGUUUUUGAUCAAAUUUCCACCUUCAAACUCUAAAGUUAAGAUCAAAAGCACAACAAUUGUGUCUAUUUCACCCACAAGACUUGCAAGUUUGAGUAAGAAUUCGCCAAAGAGAUCGACUGCUGCUAAAUUCCGUCGAUCUUUCUCUCCUUCGAGACUAGCUACCAGAUUAGUUUCACCAUUAAGGAGUAAGAAAACUGCCCAGAAAAGUGAUGGGAUUGUAAGUGGACUGAAACAGCACCCAGUAUCAACAAUUCAAUUCCCUGCUAAUAGAAGAAUUUAAGGACAUAUAGACUUUGAUUGUAUUUUGUCGCUAUGGUUUCCAAUGUCCAUAAUUGUUGUAUUCUUGUGAGAUUUUUUUGUUGUUGAGGACUUCUCCUUGUGUCCAUAACAUUCUUUCUUCUGUAAUAUGUUCAACAAAAAAUAUAAAGGUGUUUCUCUGAUGCAAAUCUUGUGAGCUUGCAAUGUUACCAAAUCAUAAGCAUACAUUUCAUUUGUCACAUAAACUCUAUGGACUUCAUCUCUCAAAAAAAAAAAAAAAAAAUCGAUGGAUUGCAAUUAAAAUGGUACUUUCUGCAAUAUGUAUUCUUUCACCAUACACCAUGUAUUUUUUAUUGAAAAAAAACAAUGAUAUUUUGUUGCUGCCCAGGAUCGAACUGGAGACCUUUAGUGUGUAAGACUAACGUGAUAACCACUACACCACAGCAACUUUGAUGAUAAUUUAUCCACUAUGAUAGUUUGUGACUCUUGAUCUUUUAAUUUAACUUUAUAUAUUUACAGUAUAAUGUUUUCAUUGAAGUUAUAUAGAUUAAUUAUUAUCAACAAUAUGCAUUUUUCGUCCCUUUAUUCUUGAUUUUAAUUGCCCAAUUUUUAUCUACAGUUUAAAAAUUUUAAUUAAUUAAUUAUUUUGACCAUCUAAUUUGAUGAUGUGGUAAUACAAAUUCACUCUCAACUAUUUAUCAUUUCAAUUUAUCUUCUUUUAACUUUAUAUGUUUGAUCAUGACUGAAUUUAACAUUGAAGAAUUUCAUCAAUAUUGAAGAAUCACAAUGAAAAUUCUAUCAAAUUUCUUUUUGGUACAGUUCAAAUUUUAAUAAAUUGUCGAGAAAGCAAUAUUUUUUUUUAAUAAUAAUAGUAAUAUUCAAAGAAAAUGUAAUAAUGAUUCAAAAUAUCUAAUGCCCAUUUUAUCAAAAGAAAAAAGAAAAUCUAUAUCCACGCGUAUAAGAUUCGUGGAUUAAUUUGGUCCGAAGGUGUAAAGGUUCAUCUUCUGAAUGGGUUGUUGUUGUGAUGAAGACGACGGUGACAUUCUCCGCCAUCUCAUGAAUUCUUCUUCAUCCACCUCAUCCCCACCACCACCACCUCCUCCCACUUCAACAAUAAUCUCACCAAUGAAUUCUCAUUUCUCCGCUUUAUCCUCCACCGAUACUCUCCAAAUUAUCUUCCAGAACCUUCCCAUCCCCGAUCUCGCACGUGCGAGCUGCGUGUGCCGUGUCUGGAACUCGGUUGCCUCACAAAGAGACCUGGUAACCAGAGCUUUCUUAGCACCGUGGAAAUUGAAGGACGUAGUUGGAAACCCGAUUUCUAGAAGCUUCUGGAGAGAUAAUUCGCUUGCCAAAUUUGCAAUCUCGCAUCGUAUUGUGCGUGGGGAUAGUGUUGCUAGUCUCGCCGUUAAGUACUCCGUUCAGGUCCGUUAGGGUUUUUUACUUUGUUUCAGAAAUUGAAAUGCAUAAUUUGUUGUUGUUGUUGUUGUUGUUAUUGAUAAUACACUAUGCGCCGGCUUGUGCUUUUGAAAAUGAUGACAAUGAAAUUAUGGAAUCAUCUCUGAAAUUCAAGAUUACGUUUGAAUAUAGUUCAUAUGAGAUAAUUUUAUGUAUAAAGCACCGAGACACGGACACCAGACACUACACUGAUACAGAUACAUCGUGAUGAUUUGAGAAAAUGAAUUAUGAAGCACAAAUACGGACAUGUCAAGGACACUGACACACCAACACCGCUAAUAAUCUGAGAAAAUCACAUAAUUCAGAGUAAUUAUAUGUGUUGGCGUUGUGUCAGUGUCGGACACGACCCGCGUCUGACACUGGGACACACCUAAUGCAAGAGUGUCCGUGCUUCAUAGAUUGAUGCGUCAAAAAGUAGACAUGCCUAAUCUUAGAGGUUUCUGUGCCUUACAGUCAGGACUAAAUUAAUCGUUCCUUGUUGACUACUGUGAUCAAAUAUUUUAGGGAUAUCAUUUUAAAAUGUUUUUAAUUUCAUGGACCAAAUUUCCUUAUCACUGGAAUAUCAGGUUUUAGGAUUAAAAUUGUGAUAAGCUCAAAUCAAAUUGUUAACAUCUACUUGUUUUGUAUAAUUUAGCAUUUUUCCUAUUAAGAAUUUAUAAACUAGUUGAUCUUUUAUCUGACCAUUUUUACUGUAAGCACUGAGCUAUAUUUUCAUUGUUCUGUUCCUGGUUUUUAUGUUUAAUGGUUUUGAUAAAGUUGGAUGAUAAUUUUUUUGAUGUUUUGACAGGUGAUGGACAUAAAACGAUUGAACAACAUGAUGAGCGAUCAUGGUAUAUACUCAAGGGAAAGGUUAUUAAUUCCUAUUAGUAAUCCUAAUAUUCUUGUUAAAAGAACUUGCUUUAUUGAGCUGGAUGACAAUGCAAAACGAGAAGUUGCAGUGUUGUAUCCGGAUGAUGUACCUGACAUAAAGAGUAGCUAUGUAUCAAACAGAAUAUCCUCAGAAGAAAGCAACAAAAAGGUGCUUGAUUCCUUGAAGAGAAGCAUGCAAGUUGAUAGUGAAACUGCUCAAUACUACUGGUCUGUUUCAAAUGGCGAUCCUCGAGCUGCU